GACGAACGCUGGCGGCGUGCCUAAUACAUGCAAGUUGAGCGCUGAAGGUUGGUACUUGUACCAACUGGGUGAGCAGCGAACGGGUGAGUAACGCGUGGGGAAUCUGCCUUUGAGCGGGGGACAACAUUUGGAAACGAAUGCUAAUACCGCAUAAAAACUUUAAACACAAGUUUUAAGUUUGAAAGAUGCAAUUGCAUCACUCAAAGAUGAUCCCGCGUUGUAUUAGCUAGUUGGUGAGGUAAAGGCUCACCAAGGCGAUGAUACAUAGCCGACCUGAGAGGGUGGUCGGCCACCUUGGGACGGAGACCCGGCCCAAAGUCCUACGGGAGGCAGCAGUAGGGAAACUUGGGCCAGGGAUGAAAGUCUGACCGAGCAACGCGGAGUGAGGGAAGAAGGUUGUCGGAUCGUAAAACUCGGUUGGUAGAGAAGAAAGUUGGUGAGAGUGGAAAGCUCAUCAAGUGACGGUAACUACCCAGAAAGGGACGGCUAACUACGUG
rnacentral:rRNA from 1 species